rnacentral:tRNA from 1 species
GGGGGUGUAGCUCAGUGGUAGAGCAUGUGCUUAGCAUGCAUGAGGCCCUGUGUUCAAUCCCCAGCAUCCA